CCCUUAGAUGUCCUAGGCCGCACGCGCGCUACACUGAUGCAUUCAACGAGUAUUUCCUUGGCCGAGAGGCCUGGGCAAUCUUUUAAACCUGCAUCGUGAUAGGGAUAGAUUAUUGCAAUUAUUAAUCUUGAACGAGGAAUUCCUAGUAAACGCAAAUCAUCAAUUUGCAUUGAUUACGUCCCUGCCCUUUGUACACACCGCCCGUCGCACCUACCGAUUGAAUGGUCCGGUGAAAUCUCGGGAUUGUGGCCAGUUCACUUUAUUGGGAGUUGGCUGCGAGAACUUGCUUAAACCUUAUCAUUUAGAGGAAGGUGAAGUCGUAACA
rnacentral:rRNA from 1 species